rnacentral:tRNA from 1 species
GCCUCGGUAGCUCAGUGGUAGAGCGAUUGCCUCGUAAGCAGUAGGUCGGGAGUUCGAAUCUCUCCCGGGGCU